GGAGUGGUAGCUCAGUUGGUUAGAGCGCUGCCCUGUCACGGCAGAGGUCGCGGGUUCGAGUCCCGUCCGCUCCG
rnacentral:tRNA from 1 species